GUUGGAACUCCAGAGACUGAUGUCACUGAAACCUCCUUUGGAGGUAAGCGUGUGGUAGGUAAUGGUGUUUCAACAAUUGUUGGUGUUCCUGUUCCUUCAACAAAUAGUGUUGGAACAAUAGUUGGUUCAAUUUUGGACUCUGGAAAAGAAACAUUGGAAAUUAAUGGUUAGAAAGCAAACGGCAGCAUCCCGUAAGAAAACCUGAUUAUGUAUGAAAAAAAAUGUGUAUUCAAUACAAUGUUUGCUUAAUUCAGUGUAAAAGUUGUGUACAUGUACCUGUCGUAACCUGAGCUACCAGUGGCUUAGAGGGCUUUUUCUUUCUGUAGCCAGUCAAUUUGACUGUGUAUUCUGCAUUUUCAGUCAAUUCUGUAAGAUCAACUGUUGAUAGAUGACCAGGUAAAGUUUUCUCCAAUGCUUUUUCAGGGCUGUCAGUGGGCUUGUAUUGCACAAUGAAGCGGUCAAAGACUUUUGGAUCGACCACCCAUGACACUUUCAUGCUAUUGGUAGUGAUGUCGGAAAUGACAAGUUCAUCGGCAGAAUCAGUUGGAACUCCAGA